rnacentral:rRNA from 1 species
AGAGUUUGAUCAUGGCUCAGGACGAACGCUGGCGGCGCGCCUAAUGCAUGCAAGUCGAGCGACGCAUGUUCGGUGGGUAACCACUGGGUAUGACGGAGCGGCGAACGGGUGAGUAACACGUGAGUAACCUGCCCCGAAGAUCGGGAUAGCCCGGGGAAACCCGGAUUAAUACCGAAUACCCUCUCUGGAUCGCAUGGUCCGAUGAGGAAAUGCCUUUGUGCUUCGGGAUGGACUCGCGGCCUAUCAGCUUGUUGGUGAGGUAACGGCUCACCAAGGCAACGACGGGUAGCUGGUCUGAGAGGACGAUCAGCCACACUGGGACUGAGACACGGCCCAGACUCCUACGGGAGGCAGCAGCAGGGAAUCUUGUCCAAUGGGCGAAAGCCUGAGACAGCGACGCCGCGUGAGGGAUGAAGGCCUUCGGGUUGUAAACCUCUUUCAGGAGGGACGAAAUUGACGGUACCUCCAGAAGAAGCCCCGGCCAACUACGUGCCAGCAGCCGCGGUAAUACGUAGGGGGCAAGCGUUGUCCGGAUUUAUUGGGCGUAAAGGGCUCGUAGGCGGCUCAACAAGUCGGUCGUGAAAACCCAGGGCUCAACCCUGGGACGCCGGUCGAUACUGUUGUGGCUAGGGUCCGGUAGAGGAGAAUGGAAUUCCCGGUGUAGCGGUGAAAUGCGCAGAUAUCGGGAGGAACACCAGUAGCGAAGGC